CCACAAUCAUGGAACCCAUCCGCCUCUCUCUCCUGCUCCUCUCCUUCCUCGCCGUCGCCGCCGCUGCCGAUUUCGUCUCCGAGGACCCCCUGAUCCAGCAGGUUGUUUCUGGCGCCUCCGAUGAUCUCGUCCUGAACGCCGACGCCCACUUCUCCAGCUUCCUCCGCCGAUUCGGGAAGAGCUAUGCCGAUGAGGCGGAGCACGCCCACCGAUUUUCCGUUUUCAAGGCCAAUCUCCGCCGCGCCAAGCGCCACCAGAGGCUGGACCCGACUGCCGUCCACGGCAUCACCCAGUUCUCGGAUCUGACCCCUGCCGAGUUCCGCCGCAGUCUCGGGCUUCACAGACGCAGAAAGUCGCCGGUCGGUGGGGCCAACGAGGCUCCGAUCUUACCGACGACUGACUUGCCGGCUGAUUUUGAUUGGAGGGAUCAUGGAGCUGUCACUGGUGUUAAGAAUCAGGGGUCAUGCGGAUCGUGCUGGUCUUUCAGUGCGGCGGCGGCUCUGGAAGGGGCGAAUUAUUUAGCUUCGGGGAAGCUUGUGAGCCUCAGCGAGCAGCAGCUUGUUGAUUGUGAUCAUGAGUGUGAUUCAACUGAACCUGACAGUUGUGACCAAGGAUGCAAUGGUGGACUGAUGACCAAUGCAUUUGAGUAUAUACAAAAGAAUGGUGGGCUCGAGACUGAGGUAGACUACCCUUACACUGGUUCGGAUCGCAGCACCUGCAAAUUCGACAAGUCUAAGAUUGUUGCCUCAGUAUCCAACUUCAGUAAUGUCGCCAUAGACGAAGAUCAGAUUGCCGCAAACCUUGUCAAGCAUGGCCCACUUGCAAUUGGCAUCAAUGCUGUCUUCAUGCAGACAUACAUUGGGGGUGUAUCAUGCCCAUACAUAUGUGGUAGGCAUUUGGAUCAUGGAGUGCUUCUGGUGGGCUAUGGCUCAGCCGGAUACGCACCGAUCCGUCUCAAGGAAAAGCCAUACUGGAUCAUCAAGAACUCUUGGGGUGAAACCUGGGGUGAGAAGGGCUACUACAAGAUCUGCAGGGGUCGCAAUGUUUGUGGGGUUGACUCCAUGGUCUCCACUGUGGCUGCCGUCCAUAGCUCACACCAGAUUGACUAGAUUUACUGUUCCAGUGCCUGUUACCAUGUUACUGUAGGCCUGGUUACUGUAGGCCUGGUGCAUGUAUUAUUGCCGCUUCGCCCGUUAUAUUCUGCAUGGUUACGGCUUAUGUGAACUUAGCGUGUAUUAUGUGUAUAAGUUGCUUGGUAUUAGGAAACUGCAUAAGAUUGUACAGUUCCCUCUGUUUCCCAUUUGACAGCGCAAAUCAUAUCUAUGUCAAC
rnacentral:misc_RNA from 1 species